CCUCCACUCAGGCCCACAGCCCAAGAUUCCAUAGUCCAAGAUUCCAGAAGAAGAAUCCAGGAUGGGAAGGGUGGGGUCAGAGGGAGAAUGCUGAAAGAAGGUUCUGGAAGAUGUCUUCUUUGGGGCUGGAUGUGUCUUCACACGCUGCCAACCUGCAAGUCCAAACUCGACUGUGACUUUGCUGUGGGCCCAAGUGUCAGCAGUCGAUCUGUUAUCAGUUGAUGGCGGGCUCGUUUCUCAGAAGCCAGGCGCGCGCGCACGUGCCGGAGCCCCAUUCUCUGGUGUGGAUCAUGUCUGCAUCGGUUCUGGAAUAAUACUUUCAGGAGCACUGUUUCCAUUCCCAGUGAGUCGUGACCGUGCCUGGGUCUCAGUCCUCGUGCUUUUUCCUGAGCGAUGCCUCGCGUUCCGAAGCCGCGCAGGUUGUAACAGAAUGAGGGUGUGGGAUUCGAGAAACGUCCGGACCUGAGCAACCCCCACCCCCACCGAGUUUCCCCGAGCCCCAGAGACAGCCAGCCCCCCUCCGCCCGCCCGGGACAGCGCUGCCAGUCUGGGCGUCCCGUGGCCACCGUGUCAUGUGUCCCGGGAGUGGAGAGGGGUGGCCAACAGGCUGAGUCGGCGGCAGACCUUCGCCCUCCUGCAGGGAACAACUCUGGUGACUGAAAAGUAACCCCGUGUACCCACCGUGCUUGUGGGCAUUGAAACCCCCAGGCUCUCUGCCAGGGUCAGCGUGUUGGGGACUUUGGGCCGGUUUUGUACACGCUGAACAUCAGUCCGGGGGCCGCUUUGGUUUUAUGUUGUUUUGUGGGAAGAUUUUGGUUUUGAAGUGAUCUCCGCGCCCGGCGUGGGGCUGGCACUCCCCACCCAGAGGUCCGGGGUCCCAAGCUUCACGGAGCCAGCCAGGCGCCCCGCGGGGCUGCUUUGGUUUUGUGAGUGAGCCUUCCAAGGAGGAGAAAGACACUGUUCAAAUCUGACUCUUUCUUAAGCGGUGAAUCCACUGGAAACUUACACUUCUAUUUCUGGAUAGAAUACAUUUCCCCAACCCCAUCACCGCGGAGGGAAGCAUUUUCUGUCAUGCUUGCUUCCAUUGAUAAACUGAGGUCGUUAAACUCUCUUACGUAUUUUCAGCC